AAAAAAGCAAAAGUGGUGGGGGGAGGAAAGUCCGGACCCCUUUCCCGAUGAAAAUCGGGAUGACAUGCCUAGCAGAUAACGUCUGCCGUCCCCCACCACUUUUGGAUAAUUCGUUUUCAGUUCCUUGCUUUGAUCAUAGUUUUAUCUCAUCCAAAAGUGGUGGGGGAUAGGGACAGUGCCACAGAAACAAUACCGCCCCCCACCACUUUUGGAUAAUUCGUUUUCAGUUCCUUGCUUUGAUCAUAGUUUUAUCUCAUCCAAAAGUGGUGGGGGGUAAGGGUGAAAAGUGUGGUGUAAGAAACCACGGCUUGCAUAGGUAACUAUUGCAAGAUGGAAAACCCUAGGCGGAGACAGCGGGAAUGGUACCUGUUUUGGCAAGUAUUUACUUGCUGAUUCGGGAGCCCCGCGCUUGAGCCGGACGGCGACGUCCGGCCUUAGGUAGAUGAUUACUUAGAAACAGAAUCCGGCUUAUGAGGUUUUCAAA
rnacentral:RNase_P_RNA from 1 species